rnacentral:piRNA from 1 species
UUCCCAUGGGCUUUGGGAUGAGGGCUU